rnacentral:rRNA from 1 species
CAAGCAGCGGAGCGUGUGGUUAAUUCGAUGCUACACGAGAACUUACCAGGGUUUGACAUACAAGUGGUAGAGAAGCGAAAGCGGACCGACCCUUCGGGAGCUUGCACAGGUGCUGCAUGGCUGUCGUCAGCUCGUGUCGUGAGAUGUUCGGUUAAGUCCGCUAACGAGCGCAACCCUCGCUGCGUGUUACAAGUGUCACACGGUACUGCCGGUCUUAAGCCGGAGGAAGGUGGGGAUGACGUCAAGUCAGCAUGGCCUUUAUGUCCUGGGCUACACACACGCUACAAUGGCCAACACAAUAGGUUGCUAAGCCGCGAGGUGGAGCCAAUCCUCAAAGUUGGUCUCAGUUCAGAUUGCAGGCUGCAACCCGCCUGCAUGAAGAUGGAGUUGCUAGUAACCGCAGGUCAGCUAUACUGCGGUGAAUACGUUCCCGGGGCUU